GAAAAUGUGAAUAGGCAAAGCUGGUGCCUACAGGAUGCCAACAGAGUAGACAAACCCCAAACAGUAAAACCUGUUUUGAAAAAACUGAUUGGUUGAUGUUAUGUAAUUAGUUCAUCUUCUUUUCCAUUUUAUUGAUGCUGUCAUUAAUUUCCCAUUAAUGUCCCUUUCUUGGCUUAUAUAACUUUAGAGCUGCACAGUGAGAGCCUAAAAAAAGAAUUAAUAAGAAUAAAGUGGGUUUUAUUUUUUCAUUUUCAAACUUACAGAAAAUUUACAUGAAUGAAUUUAAUAAAUUUGCAUGAACAGUAUGGUGGACUCCUGAAUAUACUUCUCCCAGAGACCCGAUUCAAGUUUUGCCAGUUGUUCUCAUGUCUUUAUAGUAAAAAGGUCCAGUUCAGGAGAAGACGUUACACUCCAUUGUCUGCCAUGUCUCUCUAUCUCCUUUUAGUCUGAAUGAGUUCUGCAAUCUCUACUUGACUUUCAUGGCCUUGACAUUUUCCAAGGUCAGUUAUUCAAUAGAAGUUCUCCAAAUUUCUGUUGUCCAAUGUUUCCUCUUGAUUAUAACCAGGUUAUAAAUUUUAGAGAAGUGAUGUUGUGUUUUUCUCAUUGCAUUUGAUUAGGUGACAUAUGAUACUGAUUUUUCCAAUUACUGGGAGUGUUAACUUUGAUCACUUCAUCAGAUAGUGUCUGUUAGGUUUCUCCACUAUAAUGUUAACUUUUUCUCCCUUUGUAAUUAAACAUUUUGUAGAAAGAUACUUUGAAACUCUGUAAAAUUCUGUUUCUCAUCUCACUUUCAUCCACUAAUUUUAGUAUUUAUUGAUGUCUUGCUUGAAUUCCUUUUGUAUUUAUUACUUGGCAUUCUAAUUUAAGAAAUAAUCUCUUACCCAUUUAUUUUCUUCCCAUUUAUCUAUUUACUUACUAUAUAAUUGUGGAUUCAUGGGUUCCUCUUUAUGCAGUGGAUUAUAAUCCACUACUCUCAUUACUUAUUUAUAUGCUUAAGUUGUUCCAGAUUUGGUCAGUAGGAGCUCCUUCAAGGUGGCUCCUGGAUCCUUUGGUCAUGUUCUCAUUGUUUUUCUGAGAACUUUCUUACCUUCUGGCCCAACAUGUUCAAAGCUCCUUAUUCUUCCCCUGUUCUGCUUUCAGAGUCUCAAUAAACUCUUGUUUCUUAUAGUGGAAAGCAUUUAGAAAUCAAGACUGGGCAUUAAACUUGCUCAUUGCUGCUCAGGCAUUGUUGCUCCCAGGUCCCUUCAAUGGAUACAUACAGACACACACUUAAAUCCAUGUUUAUUUACAUGUCAUAUAUAUUUAUAUAUCCACUCUUCCAAUUCCAAUCUAAUAACACAUCAUUCAUCUCAACUUUUCCUCUUUCCAUGUUUGUACCUUCUCCAGCAUUAGGAAAGUGGACUCCCUGUGUGGAGCCAAGCAUCUGAUUCUACCAGGCCUCUGCCCUGCUCAGCAGCCCUCCCUCUAUAGACCCUGACUCCCAUCAAACUGCCUUCAUGCCCACUCUAGCUCCCGCUUUGUGUGGACCCUGACACUCAGUAACACCCUUUCAAUGGAAAGAAAGAGAGGCAAGCACUGGCCUCAUUUUCUAACUGACCUUUCUGCAUUGGCUGGCUAUUUAGGCAUCAUGUAAAUGUAGUGAAUUGGUAACAGUGUUCUUAAAACAGCAGAGUUAUAGCAUGUGAGUAUUUUAUUUAUUUAAAUUCAACUUAAUUAAAAUACUGAAAAUAUUGUAAGAUGGCACAUACUUUCUAUGCACAUCUAUAUAUGCACGUUGCUGUAUAGGAAGGGAUCCACAAAAUCAUGGUUUACUGCAAUGUGUGCACAGUUUAGGAAUUUUUUUCAAGUGCAAAUUUGACAUUAGGUGCUUCUUACCUUAUAUGCUGAUUUCAAAAUCUAACUCUUCUAUCAAGUAGGACUCUAUUGUAUAGCCUAAAUUGUUUCAACAUCUACUCAAAUUCUUUCUCCAGGAGAACCAUCAUUUGGUUUCCAAAAAGGAAGCUGAGAGGAUCACACACUGAUUCUAGAACAUAUUACUUAUUCAGGAAAA
rnacentral:lncRNA from 10 species